GCCGCGAUCGCAUAACCUGGUAGUGCGCAGGAUUGCUAAUCCUGUUUCCUUCGGGAUAUCUGGGUUCAAAUCCCAGUCGCGGCG
rnacentral:tRNA from 1 species